CUCCUGGUCAGGAUUCUGCAAUGGCCUCAUUGCUUUUGGCUCUACAUUUUAUAUGCAUCCUUUCCAUAAAACUAUUGCAAUGCAAAUGAGUAAUUGCAUUUAAUAUUUUGCCAUAAGUCAUGUAAUGUCUGCAAAACCACCUUCAAAAUGGAUUUCUUAUUUUGAGCAGUUUGUUUUGCUUAUGAACCCUUUCUGAGUGUGCAAAAACAUCUUCAAAUUUACUAAACAAAUACUGCUUCGAUUAUUUAUUGUAAGCUUACCCAUAGCUCUAUGUUUGUCAAACUGUUUCCGCAAGUAUUUUUGUGGCUAACUAUGCUAGUAAGAUUGACGAGUUUUGUAUAGGAUUUCAAUUAAUUCAUGCACUAUGCAGUUGUUGUUGAUGAAGUAUUUUGUGUUUAAACUCCAUCAAUUAUUGCCUUUUGAAGGAUCAUGUAUGUUAAUACCACUUGACAUAUGCCUGACCACAGUACUGUUCAUGGAUGUAUUGCUUUUUCAGAUUUACUGAUCUCAGUUCUAAAAAUGCAGGGAUUGGAGAGUAUAUCUUCAGGACAAACACGGGAUGUCAACUGAAGGCAUGAAUCUAAUGAUUGAUAGGUUUGUUGUGCUUAAUUGAAUCUGAACUUGCAUUGACUUUAGAGGUUUUGGAUCAAAUGACAAGGCACAGGCACUUUGGAAAUGUGUGGUUCUGUGGGUCUUAUAGGGAAGAGAAGAUGAUAUUGAAAGAAUGUGGGAAAAUAUGUUUUUUGGUUUCUUUUGGGUGCCAAUAGCUCCUCCUUUUAAAGGGUUCUCUCUCUCUCUCUCUCUCUCUCUCGCUCUCUCUCAUAGGGGUUGGAGAGCCAUUUGUAGAAUGGGCAUCGGCAAGUCUGCUCGGCAAGGGAGAAUCGAUGCCUACGCUGCCGUGCACACAUGAUCACCACCAAUUCAAAACCCAGUAGAGCACUAUCCAGUGCCACUGCCUUAUUGACUGUCCACCGUCACUCAACCAUAUCAACCAUCCCCUGUUGCCCCGCCAUGGAUGAGGUCCUCACCCCUUCGCUACCACACUACCGUCAGCCAUCAUCGUUGUUGCAAUAUCAGAGUUUCUGCAAACUGUGGGAGAUAUGUGUGCAAGGCAUGGGCAAAAAUUAUAUCUAACUCUUCUUUUAUCAAAGCACACCUUUAAUCAAAGGGUGGUUUGUUCAUCCAGAAGUUUGGUAUGCCAUAUAAUUCUGGUUGCCUUGAGCUUAAUGAGGUAGACUUCAAAAUGAAACACCUAGAUUUUCUGGACAAAUGGUCUCUAGUUGUGGGGGUUUAUCACUGUUCUGUAGCUCACACCCUAAAAGAUUUAUUUAUGUUGGGAAUCAUGUGACAAUGCAAUAUAAAAGCUUUCCUUUUGCAAUUGUGGAGAAGGAGCUUUUCCCCUCUUGUCAUAUUGCUUUUAUUUCUUGCACUGGGGAGUACAAAGGUGUUGUGGCAUUGUGAAAGCUUGAGUGGAGAACAUAGAUGGUUUGUAUUGUCCGUGGGUAAUAACAUGUCAUGGAGAAAACUUGAGACUUCGCUAAAAGGAAAUGAUCUUGAUCCUGGGAUUGUAACUUCAGUCUCUGUUGGAGGGGUUAUUUAUUGAUCCCAAAGGAGCUUAAAUAUUUUUGCUAUUGACCUUAUGAUGAAACUUCUCACUCCAUUCAAGUUCCAACUGGAUUUGUUGGGAGUUUUUAUUAGCUCCUUGAGCUGAGGAAUAGUUUAUCUUGUGUUGUGAACCAUCUGGAAGAGGUUUAUGUAAGCAUAUUGAAGGACUUUAUGUCGCAAUGAAUGGGUUAAACUUUACAAGUUCAAAGAAGUAAUAGAUGGACAAAUUUUUGUAUGAUGGUUCCGCACCUGUUGGUUGGUUGGAUCAUGGCCAAUCCUUGGUCUUCAUUAUUGAGAAGACUGGUCUUCAAAGUAAAAAGUUGGUUGUUGUUUACAAUGUGAAAAUAGGAGAGGCUAGACCUUUCAUUGAUAUCGGCUUUGAUUGGCUACAGAAACACACCAAUAGCCUUGUUUCACAGUAAAUAUGCGUUCAAAACUAUUCUUUGAUUAUUGGCUAUAAAAUCUUUUUGCCCUGUACUUAUUAAUUCUAUGAGUCGAGAAUUCUAUUAAGAGUUUAUUUUCUUGUAUCUAUGUGGUAUUCUACUAGGUGUAGUGUAGAAUGGGCAAGUGGAUGCAUUUUUAUUACAUAUUUUUUUUUUAUUAUUUCAUAAUUAUGUAAAGCGUAUUUUAGGAAGACGGGAUGGAUAAGUAUGACAAUUUGUUGCCUAAUCCAAGUGGUGUCAUUAUUAUUAUUAUUGUUUGAUAACCAAGAUCCAAUCCUAGUUAGGGCCCUUUGGAUUUGCAAACUCAUGAUACAUGCGACCACUCGCUAGUUUCGACACUAUC